CAGUAAAUAUGAAAGGAUGAAACGCAACAU
rnacentral:piRNA from 1 species